GUUGGUGGCGUAGUGGUAGAACGCACCUCUGGUAUGGGUGAAACGCGGGUUCAAUUCCCCGCCCAAGGUCG